CGAUCCGUAGCUGGUCUGAGAGGAUGAUCAGCCACAUCGGGACUGAGACACGGCCCGAACUCCUACGGGAGGCAGCAGUGGGGAAUAUUGGACAAUGGGCGAAAGCCUGAUCCAGCCAUGCCGCGUGUGUGAAGAAGGCUUUCGGGUUGUAAAGCACUUUCAGUGAGGAAGAAAGCCUUGGGGCUAAUACCCCCAAGGGACGACAUCACUCACAGAAGAAGCACCGGCUAACUCCGUGCCAGCAGCCGCGGUAAUACGGAGGGUGCGAGCGUUAAUCGGAAUUACUGGGCGUAAAGCGCGCGUAGGCGGCGUGAUAAGCCGGUUGUGAAAGCCCCGGGCUCAACCUGGGAACGGCAUCCGGAACUGUCAGGCUAGAGUGCAGGAGAGGAAGGURGAAUUCCCGGUGUAGCGGUGAAAUGCGUAGAGAUCGGGAGGAAUACCAGUGGCGAAGGCGGCCUUCUGGACUGACACUGACGCUGAGGUGCGAAAGCGUGGGUAGCAAACAGGAUUAGAUACCCUGGUAGUCCACGCCGUAAACGAUGUCGACUAGCCGUUGGGGUCCUUGAGACCUUUGUGGCGCAGUUAACGCGAUAAGUCGACCGCCUGGGGAGUACGGCCGCAAGGUUAAAACUCAAAUGAAUUGACGGGGGCCCGCACAAGCGGUGGAGCAUGUGGUUUAAUUCGAUGCAACGCGAAGAACCUUUACCUACCCUUGACAUCGUGC
rnacentral:rRNA from 1 species